CGGCUUGGGCGGUGACAGAAGAGAGUGAGCACACGGCCGGUCGUCACACGACGGCGCCGCCGUGUCGCGGCCGCGUGCUCACUGCUCUUCCUGUCAUCCACUAGCUCU